rnacentral:tRNA from 1 species
GAAGGAAAGAGCUCAGUGGUACAGCACAUGCUUAGCAUGCAUGAGGUCCUGGGUUCGAUCCCCAGUACCUGCA